UACACAUGCAAGUCGAACGGAAACGAUGGGAGCUUGCUCCCAGGCGUCGAGUGGCGGACGGGUGAGUAAUACUUAGGAAUCUACCCAGUAGCGGGGGACAACUCGAGGAAACUCGAGCUAAUACCGCAUACGCCCUACGGGGGAAAGCAGGGGAUCUUCGGACCUUGCACUAUUGGAUGAGCCUAAGUCGGAUUAGCUUGUUGGUGAGGUAAAGGCUCACCAAGGCAACGAUCCGUAGCUGGUCUGAGAGGACGAUCAGCCACACUGGGACUGAGACACGGCCCAGACUCCUACGGGAGGCAGCAGUGGGGAAUAUUGGACAAUGGGGGCAACCCUGAUCCAGCAAUGCCGCGUGUGUGAAGAAGGCCUGCGGGUUGUAAAGCACUUUCAGUAGAGAAGAAAAGCCUACGGUUAAUACCCGUGAGUCUUGACGUUACCUACAGAAGAAGCUCCGGCUAACUCCGUGCCAGCAGCCGCGGUAAUACGGAGGGAGCGAGCGUUAAUCGGAAUUACUGGGCGUAAAGCGCGCGUAGGCGGCUUUGUAAGUCGGAUGUGAAAGCCCUGGGCUCAACCUGGGAAUGGCAUUCGAUACUGCAGAGCUAGAGUAUGGUAGAGGGAAGUGGAAUUUCCGGUGUAGCGGUGAAAUGC
rnacentral:rRNA from 1 species